rnacentral:misc_RNA from 1 species
CUGGAGGCACCCAGAAACCCUUUGUGAACUUAUACUACAUCGUUGCCUCGGCGCUGGCUGCCCCUCCCGCUCCGGGAGGGGGCCCGCCUCUGGUCGUAAGAACCCAGGGGAGGACAGCAGCAGGCCCGCCGGCGGCCAAUUAACUCUUGUAUUUACCGAGUAAAAUCUGAGUAAGCUUCUAAAUGAAUCAAAACUUUCAACAACGGAUCUCUUGGUUCUGGCAUCGAUGAAGAACGCAGCGAAAUGCGAUAAGUAAUGUGAAUUGCAGAAUUCAGUGAAUCAUCGAAUCUUUGAACGCACAUUGCGCCCUCUGGUAUUCCGGAGGGCAUGCCUGUUCGAGCGUCAUUUCAACCCUCAAGCCCUGCUUGGUGUUGGGGCAUUACCUGAGGCCGCCCCCGGGCGGGCCGGGUAAGCCCUGAAAUUUAGUGCGAGCUCGCCAGGACUCCGAGCGCAGUAGUAAAACCCUCGCUUUGGACUGUACUGGCGCGGCCCUGCCGUAAAACCCCCAACUUCUGAAAAU